CAAUUGCCUGUCUGGUUUUACUGGAGGUACCAGGAAUGUGUGAUUUCCAUGCUUCCUAUUUCUCAUGCACUGCCCACCCCUGCUGGGCCAAACAGGAAUGGAAGAACAGUGGAGCAACAAUCAGUGGGACUCACUGGAGGUGGCUUGCAGGUUUUCCAGAGGAGUACCUCCAAACUCAUAAUUACCCCUCCUUGUGCACAUGGCAGUGGGCUGGAGCUGCAGUCAGGACAGUGGGGGCUGUGACUGGCACCACAGGGAGUAAGUGGCUGGAAGACUAACGAUGUGACAUGCUGAUACCUCCAUUUUUA
rnacentral:lncRNA from 1 species